CGUCUAUAUACGUAUAGCAUAUCAAUAAGCGGAGGAAAAGAAACUAACUAGGAUUCCCUCAGUAACGGCGAGUGAAGCGGGAAGAGCUCAAAUUUGAAAUCUUCAAGGUUUCUACCUUGACGAAUUGUAGUUUAAAGAAGUGUUUUCUGUUAGAUGAGUAGCAAAAGUUCUUUGGAAUAGGACAUCAUAGAGGGUGAGAAUCCCGUAUUUGGUCAUUCCUCCUAGCGUUGUGAUACACUUUCAACGAGUCGGAUUGUUUGGGAAUGCAGUCCAAAAUGGGUGGUAAAUUUCAUCUAAAGCUAAAUAUUGGCGAGAGACCGAUAGCGAACAAGUACCGUGAGGGAAAGAUGAAAAGAACUUUGAAAAGAGAGUUAAACAGUACGUGAAAUUGUCAAAAGGGAAGCGUUUGACACCAGUGUUGUUUUUCCGAAAAUCAAUUACGAAUGUUUUAUUUUUGAGGAGUUAUGACUUCAUCGGCUUGCUCCUUUCUUUAUGAAACUUUCUUAAUGCACUUUUCGGUUAACAAGUCAACAUCAAUUUCUUUUGUUGUAAAAGGGUCAUGAGGAAGGUGGCUUUCUUUUCGGAGAAAGUGUUUAUAGCCUUGUGCCUCUGCAAUCGGAGAGAUUGAGGUCUGCAGCGUAGAUCCUUCGGGGUUAGAUACGUUUGUGCUAAGUUAUAGCCUUUCAUAGACGACUUGUUGACUAUGAUCAGUCAUGUAGCUUACUCGCUUAUGCUAUUUUACCUACGCUUAGGAUGUUGAUGUGAUACUGCGAGCA
rnacentral:rRNA from 1 species